GGUAAGAUGGCUGAAUCUUAGGCAAUAAACUGUAAAUUUAUUUAUGAAAAUUGAUUUCUCUUACCA
rnacentral:tRNA from 1 species